rnacentral:lncRNA from 1 species
UUGAACGUAAGAAUAUUUGAAUUUAAUAUGAAUUUCUACAUAAUUCGAGGGCCUUCAGUGACAUAUUUUCUUGAUGUAUUUGAUUAUUAAGAAAAAGAGAGUGUUUUGAUCUAUUUAUGAAUAUUCCAUGAAUUUCUAAGAUAUUAGAGAUUUAGAACCCAUGGAUUUAUGAGAUAUUCAAGAUGCUUCUCUAAGAGAAUAUGUUGUUCUUU